UUUGAAAGAUUACUGUCAAAAGAAUAUCAAUUCCGACCCUCUGAUCACGCCCGUAGACAAGAAAGAGAAUCCGUGGGCAGAGAAGUCAAAGUGCUCCAUCAUAUAGCAGCAACGGACGAAGUUGAAUCUUGUACAUAAAAUACAAACUUAGAAAUGCUUUUGUUAAAUAGUUUUACGAGAGAUACAGGCCCGAAUUUAGUAAGCCGGAUGCAUUUUUACUGUUAGUAAUACCAGACUGGUAUCCGAACAUUGAAAAAUAACGUAUACUGCGAAACGAACAGCGCAAAAAUUGGUCAAAGUUGGUGGUUUCUGUAUACGCAGGGUUUUUAAACCAUAACGAUGCGUGACUUUCCGGCUAUAUUUUACAAAUUUAAAUGAAGGAUAUAUAUGUGACUUUCAUUGAAUAAUGUGUAAAUUAUAAAGCAUCUGGCUGUCUUUAGUUAUGAGAAUAGUUUAGAAAAAUAAAAUAAACAUGGGAAAAAAUGAGCGUGAAAGAGUCUCAUGGUGGCGGUCGCGGAAAAUUUCGCGGAAAAAGUGUUAAAAAUAUCGCGAAGCAUGUAGAAUAUUAAUGGUGGUUUAUAGCUUUAAUUAAAGUGCCUAUGACACGAAAUUUCACACCAAAGGUUUAUGGUUG